rnacentral:rRNA from 1 species
GGUUAAGUGACUAAGCGUACACGGUGGAUGCCUUGGCAGUCAGAGGCGAUGAAGGACGUAUUAACUUGCGAUAAGCCCAGAUUAGGUAGUAAAAACCAUUUGAGUCUGGGAUUUCCGAAUGGGGAAACCCAAUACCAUAAGGUAUUACUGUUGAGUGAAUACAUAGCUCAACAGGGCGAACCGGGGGAACUGAAACAUCUAAGUACCCCGAGGAAAAGAAAUCAACCGAGAUUCCGAAAGUAGCGGCGAGCGAAAUUGGACUAGCCCUUAAGCUUUACACGCGUUAGACGAACAGCCUGGAAAGGC